UAGUCAAUUAUAUAUUUUAAAAUUUUAAUUAUUGUAAUUUAUAAUACUUUUUCUUCUAUUUCAAUUUAAGCGGCACAAUGCUUAAAUGACCAUAAUAUUUAAUUAGGGAUGAUAUGAUAAUAUCUUUAUUGAAGCAGGAAGCAGACAUGUCUUAAAUGACUUACAAUAACCAUUUAGAAGUGAUAUAGCAAAUAACAUUAAAAAGUACUUGUGAAAAAUAUUUAAGUGAUACUCAUAUAAGAUGUUAAGUUAAUUUAAAACAACUAGAGUUAAGUCAUCAUUUCAUGUCUAUUUUACUUUUUUUUAUUAAAUAUUAUUAAUAAUUAGAUGACUCAUAAUAAUUAAUUAGGAGUAAUAUUUAGUAAAAUUAUGGUUGAAGCCACGGAAGCAUGCAUGUCAUAAAUUUUCUUAUCACAUUUUGCAUUAUAAAAGUCAAUUUGACAAAUCUUCAAAGCUAAAUUUAUUUAUAUUAAUUUAAUUUUUAAUUUAAAAUUUAGAUGUUAGUUAAUAACAAGAAAAAUAUUAUAAGAUGUAAUAUAAUUAUUUUUAUAUUAGCUAAAAAAUACAUUUUAAAGUGUUGAUCAAAAGUCAACCCAAUUUUUUUGUUGUAUUUUAAAUAAUUAUUUCAGUACUUAAUUUUAGUGAUUGAUUCACCACCUAUAUUUUAUAAAUGUAAUUAUCAGCUGGAGGAGUUAUUUCAUUUAGUAAAAAUAAAUUUUUUAAAUAAAAUUAAGAGUAAAAAAAGUGGUCCUGUAACCAUACUAUUCCCUCCAUUAUUUUCCCCCAAACUUUUUCACAAUAGAGUUUAGGUUUAGGUUUAGUUCUCAUUUUCCUCUCCGAACUACGGCUGAAGCUUCCAAAAUCACCCUACAUUCUCUUUGAACUCUGAUAUGGUAAGUUCAUAUUCAGAGUAAUUAAUCGUUUUGGGUAUUUUUUAUUAAUCGUAGAUGUCUUUUUUGCCUUCAAUCUACUAACUCCGAGUCUGUUUGGAGAUCAUCUAUCGAGAAGGCCAAAAAAUUAUCACGAGAGAAAUUAACUGGCCUUUUGAAUUGCUUGGAAGCUUCUUUAGCAAUUUGUGGCAUAUGCAGUGCAUUUUAUCAUUUGAGGUUAUUUAAUAUAUGUUUAUAUCGAUCUUAUUAUCCUUUCUUGUCUGAUAAGAAUCUGAGGCUUUUGAGGUUAAUGGUGUAGUUUGACCCUUGCUUAGCCCUGCCUUGUUGUUUAGGAUGGAUCCGGAUGGAGAUGUUUGCCUUUGCUAAACUAAUAUAACAUAUUGCCAUUUCUAGUAACAGUAACAACGCCUUCCUUCAAUAAUGCUCAAGUGAUUUGAUCUAUUUAAAGGCAAAAUUGAAAUAGGUUGCAUCUGGAAAAUAGUGGUUAUAGUUUGGUUGAUUACUUACCACAGGUUAUCAGAGAAAUGUUCCAAAUCGAUGCUUUUGAUAUGUGGCAUCGACCAGUUUUAAAAUGAUCAUUUCAGCCUAUAAGUUUUCUAGUUAUCAGCAACUAUUCUUAUUUGAUCUGUCUCUUAACACAUUAAGCUAUACUUAUCUUGUCUUGGAUUUCUCUGUCAUGUAUCUACUUGUUUCUUGCCUCCUUAUGAUUUAUUUGCUUUGUAUUCUUGCUAUUGUGCUAUUAUAUUAUUUUCUCUGGCAACCCUGCUUCAAUUUCAAGAUCUCUGUAGCUUAUUAUUACUUGUUUCUAGUGAAUUGCCAGUUGUUGAGGCUAUUAGUUGUGUCUCCAAAGUGGGUACUGUAGGUAUAUGUUUUGCUUGUCCUAAGGGAUUUUAUCCUCAUAUGUCUUGCAUUUUGUCAUCCUUGUAUUUGUCCUACAAAAUGUGUUUUAUUUGCAAAGUUUUUCUUUUCCAUUGAAACGACAAAAAUUUUCAUUUCAGUUCUUUGGGUGAUUAGUUUUUCAUCUUAAAGCCUGACUAUGGGAUUUUUCUUAUAGUCAUUAGUUACUCACUAGUUAGGACUGAUUCUAACUACUACUGCCUUUAAGAUUAUUACUUCUGUAUUUUGUAUAGUUGCAAGAUAAAUUUACUGUGAAAAAUAUUCUUUCUUGCCCCAUGAAUAGUUUUGUUAUUCAUUCUGGAUUUCCUUUUUGCUUUCAAAGUAUGUUUGAUUUCUCUCCUUCCAUAAAGUCCACCAUGUAGCCAUUGCCCGUUGGUGUAGUGUUCCACAAUAUUUUGUUGCCUGUUGUAGUCCUCGUUAAUUCCAACAAAGUAACAGGUCUUUAUUAGAUGAUGCCAUGCACUUUUUAAUUUCAACCAUUCAAAAACAUGUACAUUGUCUGAUUUGGGAUUAUUCUAUCAGGGAUGAGUAAGUGCUUCAUGUCUCAAUAAUAAUCAAACUUUGGCUUCUUGUUAGAUUUUGGCACAUUUGACACUCCUUUAGGUCCUGCUUUCAGUUGGCGCAAUUUAAUCAUUAUUAUUUUAGCAUUUGAAUUACUUAUACUCUCAAAGCUAUAUAUUAAGCUGUACAUGGAGUCGUUCUGAGGAUCGGGUUAUUCAAAGCAAUUUUAAGAAGGCAUCUUCUCUAUUGUCACGCAUGCUUUCGAAAGCUCGAAGUAACGGACGACGGCCUGGAUGACUUGGGUCAGAUUAUUGGGAUCAACUUAUUGUAUACUAAUAGUCUCCGAAAGGAAUCAAUACGUUCAAGCAAUUGAAGAGCUCAAAAAGAAAUCAAUCGAUAGAUGAUCAAGGCAAUCUAAUCAUGCUAUCAGAGGAAGAAACUCUCCUGCUGGCCGAAUGUAGUUGGCGGCGUGUAUAAGGGAAGUGCGUACGACCUUUGCCCUGAGAAGAACUUUCAUCGCCUCUAGUGUGGAUUGCAAGGUAUAGAGGGUCCGACACCAUGCCAGAUGAGCAGCUUGAGGAGAUGCGACAGGAAGUUCGGGAGCUUGCUAGGAAGUAUGAGGAGGAACAAAAAAAUGGAUGGAGGAGGAGCAACGUAGGAUGACACUUGAGUCAUACGUCCAAGAACACUAGGAUCAAGUAAAUACGUUAAUCAAGUUUCCUUGUUCUCUGCCCUCUAGCUCUAAUGAUGAUGGUGGAGAGGAGGAGGAUGAUGGAGAAGAUGAAAUAGAGUAUUAGGUGGUGAUGUUAUUUUAAUUUUGGAUUUUGUAGUUUGGAGUGUUUGAAAGAAUUUGUUUUGCUAUGUACUUGUUUGCAUAUUGUUUAAGUUGGAUGAAUAUGUAUGAAGUUUGACUGCUUAAUUUUAAUGUUUGAAUUGUAUCGGAA